rnacentral:rRNA from 1 species
UACGUAGGGUGCGAGCGUUGUCCGGAAUUAUUGGGCGUAAAGGGCUCGUAGGCGGUCUGUCGCGUCGGGAGUGAAAACUCAGGGCUUAACCCUGAGCCUGCUUCCGAUACGGGCAGACUAGAGGUAUGCAGGGGAGAAUGGAAUUCCUGGUGUAGCGGUGAAAUGCGCAGAUAUCGGGAGGAACACCGGUGGCGAAGGCGGUUCUCUGGGCCUGUACUGACGCUGAGGAGCGAAAGCGUGGGGAGCGAACAGG